rnacentral:rRNA from 1 species
UACGAAGGGGGCUAGCGUUGUUCGGAAUUACUGGGCGUAAAGCGCUCGCAGGCGGUAUUGAUAGUCGGGGGUGAAAUCCCGGGGCUCAACCUCGGAAUUGCCUUCGAUACUGUCUAUCUAGAGUCCGGGGAGAGGUGAGUGGAAUUCCUAGUGUAGAGGUGAAAUUCGUAGAUAUUAGGAAGAACACCAGUGGCGAAGGCGGCUCACUGGCCCCGGAACGUGACGCUCAUGAGCGAAAGCGUGGGGAGCGAAACAAGGAUUGAGAA